AACGAACGCUGGCGGCAUGCCUAACACAUGCAAGUCGAACGAGACCUUCGGGUCUAGUGGCGCACGGGUGCGUAACGCGUGGGAACCUGCCCUUAGGUUCGGAAUAACUCCCCGAAAGGGGUGCUAAUACCGGUUAAUGUCUUCGGACCAAAGAUUUAUCGCCUUUGGAUGGGCCCGCGUUGGAUUAGCUAGUUGGUAGGGUAAAAGCCUACCAAGGCGACGAUCCAUAGCUGGUCUGAGAGGAUGAUCAGCCACACUGGGACUGAGACACGGCCCAGACCGCUACGGGAGGCAGCAGUGGGGAAUAUUGGACAAUGGGCGAAAGCCUGAUCCAGCAAUGCCGCGUGAGUGAUGAAGGCCUUAGGGUUGUAAAGCUCUUUUACCCGGGAUGAUAAUGACAGUACCGGGAGAAUAAGCUCCGGCUAACUCCGUG
rnacentral:rRNA from 1 species